UACAGAGGCCUCGAGCGUUGUUCGGAAUUACUGGGCGUAAAGCGAAUGUAGGUGGUGACGUAAGUCAGAUGUGAAAGCCCAGGGCUUAACCCUGGAAAUGCAUUUGAUACUGCGUUGCUAGAGUGUGAGAGAGGAAAGGGGAAUUCCCAGUGUAGGAGUGAAAUCCGUAGAUAUUGGGAGGAAUACCGAUGGCGAAGGCACCUUUCUGGCUCAUUACUGACACUGAGAUUCGAAAGCGUGGGUAGCAAACAGG
rnacentral:rRNA from 1 species